ensembl:lncRNA
CUGCCUGCCACCCUGUGUGGUCUCACCCACUUGUUGAGUGUGAAACCUUGAACUGUGGAAGGUGUACCUGAGGACUGGACAUAGUGUGAGGAAGCUCUUUUGUCCCGACCUUCAAAAUUCAUGAUUUCAGCUGAAAGUCGAAGAAAGCCAAAGAUAGAAGGAGAAAUACCGUGAGAAAAAAUAAACCUGUAGUUUUCAAGCCAAGUGCGAUACAAGAGACUGAGGAUCCUUCUGCCUCAGAAGCAAAAUUGAACCUACAGAGAAGUCCUCUUGUUUUUAAUCCAGUCAACACCACGAUAUUCAAAUUGAAAAAAUGUUGAUUUUGUGUCUCGUACUCAGCAGAAAAGAAGCAUGCAUGAGAAGGGACAAAACAAAAAACCUCUGCAUUUAUUAACCUCCAAGUCUUUAAGAGAAUAAAGGCUAUAAACAUUCUCUUUCCCACCUGCCUGUCCUCUCUUAGGCCACAGAGCCAUACCCUUCAGCUGUACCAGCAUAAAGCUUACCAACCCCAGAGACAACCACCUCCUCAUCCAAUAUUACUGCUUCCUCUGAUAUUUCAGACUGAGUUGCAGUUCCAUAGGUUUUCAUGGUGUAUGGAUGACACCUGGAAUUGCAUGGCCCCAGACAGAUGGGCAUCCCUAGAAAUACAGCAAAAUAGCAGGAACACCAGCUGAAGAUGAGGGAUCCAUAUUGUUCAAUGACCUUCUCAUGUUGGAGUGGACUGAAGCAGAGCAGAGCCAAUCUGCCCACGUCACCCCAGUUGUAAACAGAGCUCCCUCUCACCCCUCCCUCGCUGCCUCCAUCCUGCACAGGGAUGUCCAUGGCUGUGGCUGUGAGCUACGCUGCUCCCUGACAUCAGCUCCCCUGGUGCAUACACGUGUUUCCAUUGCACAGCCUCCUUUAAUUUGCUUUUCAUUCCUGCAAAAAGGGUUCUCUUGACAUCUUUGCUCCAAGUACAGUGUCUACAUGUUUUCUUGUUAAAAGGAGUACUUUCCUAUUCUUUCCCUUGGGAAUGUUUUUAUUACCUGCUGUUAUGUCUCUGUAUCACUUGCUAGUAAAAUAAUUGGGAAGUGCUCAGAGCAGCUGAACCGUACAGCAUUUUUCCCUCAUGUUCUUGCCUUUUUCUCUCCCCUACUGCAACAGUGCUAUCUGAUUCCCACUAAAACAAGAUUUAAAGAUGACAGCUGUCUUCCAUGUGGUGACAUUCACUAUAAAGAGAAGUGGACUGAUUUCUUUAACUUGAUCCCGUACAUGCUCAUUACUGCAGUAAUCCAAAC